UGAAAAAACCCGAGAAAGUCAAAACUUCGUAUAUCUCGGGAUUUUAACGAGACCAGUCUCAUACUCGUGAAAAUCGAGAGAGGAGUUUAAAUGGAAAAACAUGAAACAGUCUGAACAGCAAUCCUCGAUUUUGUCAACAAUCUAAAACGUGCUAAGGAGUAGUCAUUCGUCGAUUUACCUGCGGCUUCCAGAUGAUCUGAAGAUCAGGAAUAUAGAAAAUAUUGUCAAUUUGAUAUUGCUAAUGACCCAGUCAAGUCUGCUGAAGCCCAGAAGUUUCCAGACCAUGACAUUAAUGAAUAUUCCUUGAAUGGAAUGCAUGAGGAUUAGAAUGGAAUCUUAUUCUGCCUUUUUUACCAACUCACACCAUCUUUUCAAGAUUUAUGGAGCCAACCACAGAAGAAUUUGUUCUAUACACAUCAUUCAUAACAUUCUUAUUUAUGUUGCACAACUUUAAAUGUUACUGGAUGAAUUGUGUUCACAUAAUGAAUACCAGCAAACUUUUUAUCGAGUGCACUUAAUUCGUAUUGUUC